rnacentral:rRNA from 1 species
UGGGGAAUUUUGGACAAUGGGGGCAACCCUGAUCCAGCCAUGCCGCGUGCGGGAAGAAGGCCUUCGGGUUGUAAACCGCUUUUGGUCGGGAAGAAAAGAUCACUCCUAAUAGGGGUGGUACUUGACGGUACCGGCAGAAUAAGCACCGGCUAACUACGUGCCAGCAGCCGCGGUAAUACGUAGGGUGCGAGCGUUAAUCGGAAUUACUGGGCGUAAAGCGUGCGCAGGCGGUUCGUUAUGUCCGAUGUGAAAGCCCCGAGCUCAACUUGGGAAUGGCAUUGGAAACUGGCGGGCUGGAGUGUGGCAGAGGGGGGUGGAAUUCCACGUGUAGCAGUGAAAUGCGUAGAGAUGUGGAGGAACACCGAUGGCGAAGGCAGCCCCCUGGGCCAACACUGACGCUCAGGCACGAAAGCGUGGGGAGCAAACAGGAUUAGAUACCCUGGUAGUCCACGCCCUAAACGAUGUCAACUGGGUGUUGGGGAAGCGAUUCCUUGGUACCGUAGCUAACGCGUGAAGUUGACCGCCUGGGGAGUACGGCCGCAAGGUUAA